GAGGGAGAGGAAGAGGAGGAGGAGGCGGAGGAGGGAGGGGGAUGAAGGGGAGGUGUAACACAUCCGACGAGCCGGCUGCAAUGGGCCUCAGCUAAUCCAGACCCUUCGGAGGACCUGCCUUCCCGCUGCCACCGCCGUGUGUCAGAAGCUCCUUGGAUUCGGUUCUCCUCGCCGCCCCCGCCGCCGGUUGACCACAUUUUUUUCCUUGACACACAAUGAGCGCCGCCUGGUAGAGGAGAAGCGGCGUGCCGUGCUGCCUUGCCCCUUUCGGGUUCUCGCGAUGUGAUUCUAUUGCGGCUGCUGGAGGUGAAGGAGGAAGAGGAGGCAGCGUGGCCCGGGGGGGAGGAGGAAGCCUGAGGCUAUGUGGUGUCAGCGACACCAGAAGAUUUGGUGAACCAUGAUGAAGACUGAGUCCCAUAAUACUCCUGGCGGCAGCGGCAGCAGCAGCAGUGGGGGCAGCAGCACCACCGGUGGCAAUGGGGCUGGAGGCAGCCUGAGGAGUGCCUCGCCUCACCGGAAUGCCUACGAAGCUGGCAUCCAAGCUCUGAAAGCCUCCAAGGAUGCCUUGGGCCAAGCUGACAGUGAGGAGGCCAAGAAAGCCAGGAACAAGAAAUAUGGGUCCAAUGUCCAUCGGAUCAAAAAUAUGUUCCUGCAAAUGGGCACUGCGCCGCCACCAGGGGAGGGAGCAGUUGAUCUGGCCAAGAUGAAGGAGAAGCCGGUCCGGUUGUCCUUGCCCCGGGCCAGCAGCCUGAACGAGAAUGUAGACCAUAGUGCAUUGCUGAAACUGGGCACCAGCGUAUCCGAGAGGGUGAGCCGGUUUGACUCCAAAACAGAUAAGCCAUUGUCCAAGCUCCAGGAGACACGGAAGAUCUUCGAGAGAAGUCUCCAGGAGAAGGAGACCACCAACAAACUGCUUCUGAGGAAAGAGAGAGCUGGCUUCCAAGACCGGAAGUUGGAUGUGGUGGUGAGGUUCAACGGCAGCACAGAAUCCCUGGACAAGCUAGACACAGAGGCUGUGUCUCCCACUGUAAGCCAACUCAGUGCUGUCUUUGAGAAAGCUGACCUGAGGAAUAACCUCCAUAAAGCCCCUGGCAAAGUUGGGCCCCUCAACUCCAAAAUUGUUAGCAAAAGGUCCAGGGUUUUCCUCCAGGCUCCAGAAGGAAGUGCCAAGGUGGAAAACAGGAAUAGUGAUGGGGCUGCGCCCCAAGUGAGAGCAAGGUUGCCCGAGACUGACAAAGCCCAAAACAAGCUGGUGCCCGGGGGUUCAGUAGCAGCAAAGCCAGGAGAUAAAGACUCUAACAUGGGGCUACGUCCUCAGAAGGUCCAAGAAGUGCGCAAGAUCAAGCCUGUGGAAGUGGAAGAGAGUGGAGACUCUGAACAGGAGUUUGAGGCAGCUGAGGUGGCAGUGGCGGCAGCAGCAGUGGCAGAUGAGAACAGCAAGGCCUCUAAGGGUUCUGACCCUCUCAGGGCAGAGGUGAUUCAGGCUGAGGUCACAGUGCAUGCGGCCUUGGAAAAUGGCCAGCUGGGGGGUGAAAGAUACCUAGAAACUCCAGGCCCAUUGGCAGACACUUACUGUGAGGAAGUGGCCAAGGCUGAGGGACCAGAGGAGAAUGACCUGGGUGAUGAGUCUAAGAAGGAGGACUUCUCUGAGGCUGACCUGGUGGACAUUAGUGCCUACAGUGGACUGGGGGAGGAUUCGGGAGGGAGUGGGCUGGAUGAAGACGAGGAUGGUGAUGGACUGUAUGCACCGGAAUCUAGCUGUGUCGAGAUCCCUGGGCUGUCAGAAGAGGAUGAAGCUGCCCCUAAUCGCAAGAUCCACUUCAGCACAGCCCCAAUACAGGUUUUCAGCACUUAUUCCAAUGAGGAAUAUGACCGUCGAAAUGAAGAUGUUGAUCCUAUGGCUGCCUCAGCAGAGUAUGAACUUGAAAAAAGAGUGGAAAGGCUGGAUCUAUUUCCUGUGGAACUGGAAAAAGAUUCUGAGGGUCUUGGGAUCAGUAUUAUUGGAAUGGGGGCUGGAGCUGAUAUGGGUCUAGAAAAGCUUGGCAUAUUUGUCAAGACUGUGACAGAAGGAGGAGCAGCUCAUCGAGAUGGCAGGAUCCAGGUGAAUGAUCUUAUCGUUGAGGUGGAUGGCACCAGUUUGGUGGGCGUGACUCAAAGCUUUGCAGCCUCUGUGUUAAGGAAUACCAAGGGUAGAGUCCGGUUCCUCAUUGGCAGGGAGAAGCCAGGAGAGCAGAGUGAAGUGGCGCAACUGAUCCAGCAGACCCUGGAACAGGAACGAUGGCAGCGAGAAAUGAUGGAACAGAGGUAUACCCAAUAUACAGAGGAGGAUGAAGAAACAGGAGAAUAUGCUACAGAUGAAGAUGAAGAGAUGAGCCCCAUGUUCCCCAACAAUGAAAUGGCUAUUGAGGUUUUUGAAUUGGCUGAAAAUGAAGACAUGCUGUCUCCAGUGGAGAUGGAUCCUGAGAAGCUAGUGCAUAAAUUUAAGGAGCUCCAGAUCAAGCAUGCUGUGACUGAAGCCGAAAUACAGCAGCUGAAAAGAAAGCUACAAUCAAUUGAACAGGAGAAAGCUCGCUGGCGCAUUGAGAAAGCCCAGCUGGAACAGAGCGUAGAAGAAAACAAGGAGCGGAUGGAGAAACUGGAAGGAUACUGGAUGGAGGCUCAGAACUUAUGCCAGGCUGUGGAUGAGCACUUAAAAGAGACCCAGGCCCAGUACCAGACUCUGGAAAGGAAAUACAGCAAAGCUAAGCGACUUAUUAAGGAGUAUCAACAGAAAGAAAUUGAAUUCCUCAAGAAGGAGACAGCUCAGCGUCGCAUCCAAGAGGAGUCUGAAUUGGCUCACAAGGAGGAAGUUGACAAGCUGCAAGAGAAGAUCUCUGAACUGGAGGCGAAGCUGCAGACUUUGAAAAAUUCCAACACGACUUAAAAAGAGAGAGAGAGAGAGAGAGAGAGCAGAAAAACAUAUAAACCAACCAGAGAAAUUAAUUCAUCUUAUUAUUAACUAUUACUAUUAUUCGCAAGGGACAUCUUUAGAAUUUUCUUCCACCCAUGCCCAGUCUUUAUUCUUCCUCAUCCUGUGCCUCGUUCCCUUUAUUUUACUGCAGGGGAAAUACUGUAAAGCCCAGCACUGUCAGAAGAACUACUGCAGAUGACCUUGCCAUCUGUUGAGUAUGAGGCUGUGAAAGACCAGGUGGGGUGGUGAAAUUCUAGAUGGACUGCAGAGACACAACCCACCUCUUGAUGGUGAUGGAUCAUUUUCAGUUUCUGUGUCUGGUGUGCAUCUUGUGUCAACUGGAGAAACAGAUGAUGGAGGGCGGGAAGGUGGUCAUCUGUGUACAGUAAUGUAUGUCUUCUGUCCCAUCUGCCUGAUGAGAACCUUUAUGGAUUGGGACUGAUGCCCCAUGUCUAUACAUUGACUUGUUGGCUCUUCAGUGGUGCAGGCAACUAGAACAUAGAAAGACUCUGCUGGUGACAAAUAAGACCAGCGGUUUUCAUUUUGCUUCCUGAAUCUUGAUCUUAUGAGCUGGGUGGGGUGGAGGGUGGGACACUUGUCUAGCUUUGAGAUGGGAAGAUCUUUAGUUUUCCAUCCUUUGGGCAACUUGGAAUCCAUUGUUCUCUAUGUUUUGUGGUGGGAACUGUAUCUGUUUCCUAACAAAUGAGCCAGCAGGAGGUUUUGCUGGCCAUCUUUGGGACAUCCCUGCUGGCAACUGACUUUUACAUCAGGGAAGAAGUAUCAGCCUGUUUUUCUUUUCCUCAUUACAUUUUAUUCCUAUUUUUUUGGAAGAUUCCUGGGAAUCUACAUUCUGGAGACUAACAAACUGGACUCUCCCAAAGGACUUGAGGGUUCAGACGUAAUUGCUGAGAGCAAAUAUAUCAAGGCAGCUGUAGCCAGGAAAUGAAGCCAGAAACUUUAGAAAAACAUGGAACUGCCAUUCUGUAUUUGCAUCUCCAAAGGCCACCAGUUUGUGCUGGAUCCAUCUCACCACUGUCAGCAUCAGGGUUUGCUGGGGAAAUUGGAAUCUGGAACUAAUUAGGAGCAAAACAUGAAAACAAAGCCCUGGUGGUCAAAAGCAAACUGUACAAUGAAUCUUGUCUUUUUAAUUUAAUGGAUUCACCUAGAAAUUUCCAGAUCUCGUCAUGAGGACGUGUAGUUUGUUUGUGAUAAAAAUCAUUCAUUUUAUCCUUCAUUAUUUGGAAUUCAAAGGUUUGAUGUGUGAAAACUGUUCACACAUAAGAUGAGUAUUCAAGAAGAUCACUUCCCAAAGUUAGGUUAAUCUUUGCAUAUUUCCAUGAUCUGCUUAUAUACUCACUUUGGUCAAAAGUGACAAUUUGGUGGGUUAUUUUCCAAAGUUUAAUUUAUAUAUGGAAUGGGUAUUCUAUACACAUGCCAUGAUUUAUGAACAAGGACUUCAGUAUGGCAAAUAUUUUGGAUUCAUUAAUCAAAAAUAAAAAACUGAAAAGUCCAAUUUUUUUAGCCUAGAAGUGGGGAAUCAAAUGAUUUGGGAAAGACUACUUUCCUAUCUCCUCUACAUAGAAAGGGUCACAUUGUAAAUGUUCUCACAUAUCUAUCCUAAAACUCACUGCUCUUAAAGCUAAAGGCAUCAUACUGUAUGUUCAUGCACAUAUAACGUGGGGAGUAUGCAUUUUAGUGCUCUGUGAAUUGCUUAAAAGUUUACUGCAAGUGUAGUUCAGCCAAUUUACAGCCUCGGUCCCCUUUAUGUGUUAUAUUUGUUGCAGCACAUUUUCCAUCAACUGCUGGGGUGAUAAUGGAAUUGGUUGUCUGGCGCUUGAAGGAUCCAGGUUCGGUAGGAACUUAGAUGUGUAUGAUUGAGUGAUGUCAUUCAAAAUAACACGUCCUAUACUAUGUUCUCUUUAUAC